CUACAAGUCAAUGAUUUUGCAGGAAUUCCAUUGCAUAAAAGUUACAAUUCAGCUGUUGUCGAAGCAAGUGGUUAUGAGAACAUGAGUUGCGUGGAAAAGGAUUGCCGAAAUUACAUUGAAAAAGUGAGACGAUUAAGACUUGGGGAAGGGGCCGUCGCCGCAAUACAAACAUACUUUUCAAAAAUGCAAGCACAAGUCUCAGGCUUUUUCUUAGUAUGGAUCUGGAUGAUGAUUUUCGGUUGAAGAACAUAUUUUGGGCAGAUAAUCGCUGUAGACAAGCAUAUAAGGAAUUCGGCAAUGUUGUUACAUUUGAUACCGCUUACUUGACAAACAAGUAUGACAUGCCUUUCGCCCCUUUUGUUUGCAUUAAUCGUCACGGACAAUCCACAUUGUUGGGUUGUGGAUUGGUAUUGAAUAAAGACAUGGAAACUUUUGUGCGGUUGUUUAGAAUAUGGCUCCAAUGUAUGCAUGAACAAGCACCACAAGGGAUAAUUACCGAUUAGGACAGGGCAAUACAAAAUGCAAUUCAGAUAGUUUUCUCGAACACAAGACAUAGAUGGUGUUUGUGACACAUUCUGAAAAAGUUGCCUAAGAAGUUUGGACACCACGAAAACAAGGCAUCAAUAUUUGAAGCGAUACACGGAUUGGUUUACGAUUCAUAGUUUGUCCAGGAGUUCGAAGAAGGUUGGGCCACGAUGAUUGAUACUUACGGCUUGCAUGAUAACGAUUGGUUGUCCGGACUAUAUGCAAAAAGAGCUCGUUGGGUUCCUUAUUUUCUGAAGACUAGUUUCUGGGCAGGGAUGUCAAUGACACAGAGAACCGAGAGCAUGAAUGCAUUCUUUGAUGGGUAUGUGCAUUCGAAGACGUCAUUGAAGCAAUUUGUCAAACAAUAUGAGCGAGCACUGCACAGUAAAAUUGAGAAGGAGUUCCAAGCUGAUUUCAAGUCAUUUGCGCAAACAUUACCGUGUGCCACAGAUUAUGAAGUGGAGCAGCAGUUUCAAUCAGUUUGCACUAUUUCUAAAUUAAAGGAGGCUCAGGCUGAGUUUAUAGGAAAGGUUUACUGUGACCUCAUCUCUACUUCGGAGAGACCCUCAGGGACGAUGUAUGAGGUUCGAUAGGACGUUAUGGGCGGCGGGAUACGGAGGAAGAAAACAUUUGUCGUCUCAUUUGAUAGAUAAAAUUGUGAUAUUCUUUGCAGCUGCCAUUUGCUCGAGUUUAGGGAGAUAAUUUGUAGGCAUGCUAUUGCAGUACUGAUUCAUUGUGACGUCACAUUACUUCCUGAGAGGUGUAUACUGCGAAGGUGGAGGAAAGACGUUGGGGUCGCAAUCGAUUACGACGGUUUGGUUAGUACUCUUGAGCAGUUGAGGUAUGGUGACGUGUGCCAUGCUUUUGAAGAAGUAGCGGAUCUCGCGGCAGACGAUGAAGGUCGAGCACGUGUGAUUAUGGAAUGGAUAAAACUUCAGCGUCAAGAUCUCAUGACGUCUAAGAAGUCGGGCAUAGGAAGUAAUGCUGUAUCCAAAAAUUCUUUUGAAAAUAUGGACCAAUGCACUGAUUUUCAACAUCAUGGUAGUGUGACUAUACGUGAUCCAGUGACGUCGCGCACAAAAGGGGCCCCCAAGAAACUUCGGAGAAAAGGUCCGUUGGAGUCGAGUUCGAAGAAAAGUAUGUUCGAAGCCUAGACUCUAAAAUUCAAAUGUCUCUAAUAAUUAAUACUGAUCACAUCCUAUGCAUAUUUAGGGAAGCUCGGCACCAAACAAAGGAAAGCGACCAAGCAUGAG
rnacentral:lncRNA from 1 species